GGAGGGGGAAGGUGAGCAGCCAUAGUGAAAGAAGUGGGCAAAAGCUGGUGAAGAUGGGAAAGAGAGGAAGGUUUAGGGUAAACAAAUUAGUAUACGGAUAAGGAUUGAUGAAAGGGAUUUGGUGAAAUUUGAUGAUGAGAUUUCAAAGAGAAAAACAAAAAAAAAAAACAAAAAAUAAAAGGAAAAGGAAAAGGAAAAGGAAAAGGAAGGGACGAAGAUGAUUGGGGGGAAAAGGAGAGAGGAGCGGAUUGUGGGGGCUAAUAUGAUUUUGUCACGCAAGAAUAUUCUCUUAGCAUCUUCCCCUCCCCAGAUCUAACCUUCUCUCCCGCCCCUCAUAAAUUGUUAGUGUAGGGCAAUUUCAAAUGGUUAUGGUAAGUCAUUCAAAUUACACUCUUAAAUAAAAUUUAAAUUUUCAAACGUCACAAUUUUUUUUAUUAUUAGAGUCUAAUUUUACCAUGAAAAUAUUGAAAUAUAAUUAAAAUUAUUUUUAUAGGAGUAUUCAUACUUCCGUUCGGUUUGAAGCUGAAACCAAAUUGAAGCAUACAUUUGUGUCAAAUUUAAUCGCUUUCAGUUUGGUUUUAAAUCAUCACAUUCUAUAGAUAUAUGUGCCUAUAUAAUCUCCUACACAAUUGUUUAACUUUCUAUACGAGCGUUCAACUUCUUACAUGAUUGUUUCGCUUUUUAUUCAAUCGUUUAACUUUCUAUUCAAUCAUUUGCUCUCUUACACGAUCAUUUAGCUUUCUGUACAAUCGUUUACUCUAUUACACGAUCGCUUAACUUUCUAUACAAUCAUUCAACCUCUUAUUGUUUAGCUUUCUAUACAAUCACUCAACCUCUUACGCUUCAGUUCGGUUUUAGAACCAGUUUAAUAUCUUAAACCAAAACAAUCUACAUAAGAAGCAGUGCUUAUUUAAACGAAACCUUACUGAACCGCAAGCAUCCAGUUUCAGUUUGGUUCCAAUUCGAUUUGCAGUUCAGUUCGUUUUUCAACUGGUUUUUUAACACCCAUGUGUUCCUAUACUUUACAACUAAUUUUUUUGUAACUUGUUCAAAAUUUGUGUUAAACUGCCGUUUGUGUAUGAGUGUUUACUUCAACUUGCCCGUUAAAUUUGGUACGACUUUUUUACUAUAAGACUAAAUUGUUAGUUCGUAAAUUGUUAUAAGCUUCAACAAAAUUAUUACAAAUCAAAGUUAAUAAAUUGAAUUGCAUCGUUUACUUCUAUGAACUUUAAUUCAUAAAAUUUUAAUUUUAUGCCUAAUAAAUUACUAUUUUAAUUAAUCUCUCAAUUUUGAGGUUUUUGUUUAUUUAAACCCUAAACUUUUAAGUUAAAAAAAAACGUCACGAAUCUACUCGACGAACAAACGUACCAAAAUGGUCAUUUAAUAAAAUUUAUUUUAAUUUGUAGGCUAUUUUAAUAUUUGUCAUAUUAUAAUAUGAACGAAUUGUAUUGAGAAGACAUUAAAAACAUACAAACAAAUUCAAAUAUAAAAAUCUAAAACCAUAAAAGAAUGAGGAUAUGAACAAAAUGUUAUUUUUAACUUCUUUUUUUUUAAUAUAAAGAUAAGAUUAGUAACAUUAAAUAAUAAUAAUGAAAAGAAGAGGUUGAAAAUUAAUAAUUAGAAAAAGAGUUCAUUUCCCAAAAUCCCAACCAAUAAUCAAUUGCUAAAAGUUUUUAUUGUCCUUUUCUAAUUGGUCAUAAAUUUUCAAUCAUAUAUUAUAAAUUAUAUCUCUUCCAUUUGUUAAAUUUUGACCUUCAAAAAGGUUAGUUUUUCAAACCCUACCUAUAGAAAAGGUUUACUUUAUCCAUCUAUAUAUCAUUUGCCUAAAUUAAAUUUAAAAAAAAAAAGCGUAGAUCUUUUAAUUUCACGUUAAAACAAAUCUACUUCAGUCAGAAAUAAAAUAUUUUCAACACUAAAAUUUCAGAUUUUAUCAAUAAUUGACAUUGAUAGACACUGAUAUGCUUCUAUUAGUGACAUUGAUAAACAGUGAUAAAAGUUUAUCAGUUUCUAUCAUUGAUAGAAUCCAAAAUUUUGCUAUAGUUUAUUUUACUAUAUUUGAAAAUGCUCGUUUAGUCAAUAGGGUAGCAAUUCAUUUAUUUAAAAUUGGAUGAUUCAAAUUUUCACUGCUAUUUUGUUGAAAUUAUAUAUAAAAGAACGUUAAUUUUCUCAUAUGUAUUGCUUCAUCGAUCACUCGAAAGCAUAUAUUAUCAAUUGAUAAAACAAUCAAAUAAAAAAUAAUCUAAUAAAAAUGAAGUUUGACCAAUUAAAGGAGAUAAAUCCUUUAAUUAACUUAACUCAACGACAAUGGAUAUGUUAUCUCUCUUUAAUCAAUCAAAAGUUGAAUCUACCAAUUUUAUGAUUGUUUUAUUAGAAAAAUAUAGAAUGAUUUGAAUACGAACGAGGUUAAGUUGUCAUCGACUCUCUAUUGAUAACCUCUAUCACUUUGGUUUAGGUUAAUCAUAAGAACUAAUUAUUUAAUUUUAGUUUGCUUUGUAUUGUAUUAAUUAAAAAAAGAAAAGGUUACUUAAGGCUAAUGUGGUCCAUUAGAGAGUGGGAGAAUAAUUAAAGAAGCCAUCAACUUUGAUAUAAACACAUUAUCUUCAAACAUUAUAUUAUAUAUAUAUAUAUAUAUAUAUAUAUAUAUAUAUAUAUAUAUAUAUAUAUAUAUAUAUAUAUAUAUAUAUAUAUAUAUAUAUUCUAUAGUGCUAUCUUCCAAAUUUUGAUUUUAAUAUUUUAAAACAAAUUGGUUUUAUUUAUUUUUUGUAUAAAGAAAAACUCUUGUCUUUUGUUAUCCAAUAGGAUUGAAAAAUGGGGAAAUAUUCCACAUUGAUUAUAAAAAAAACAAUACUAAUAAUGGAGUUUAGCAUAUGCUUAUAAUUUUAGUUUAAUGUAACAAUUUUGUGUUUGCUCCACUAAAUAAGCAUCCAUUUUUGUUAUUCUAGUAAUACUUUUUUUCACCCUUAUUUUGAUACGACUAUUUGGGUCGAGUUGGUUAUAUAUAAUAAAGGUAUAUAUACUUAAACAAAAAGUCAGACCCAAACUCAAGAGUUAGUGCGUCGGGAUCUAGUAUCUUUCAUGGUUUGGGAUAUUUACGUCAAAGCUAAUCGUCUAUCGACGCGACUUGUCUUUUAUCGUGGAGUUGAAGAAUGAGUCUAGCUUCUUUCUUUUAUUAGAUAUUACUGCUCACAUAUUAAGUUGUUGCAUACGUUCUUUGUCUUACUACAUAUUUAUUAAAGUUGAAGUGAUAUAAAUUUGGUGGUGUGAUCGAUCUAGAGCAUUAUUGUUUUGAAACAUCACAAUCUAACAAUGGAGAUAUGUUUAAAUGGAAAAUGACAUCAUUUUUCUAUUAUUGAUGAAAGUGGUGUGACCUUUUGUGAACGAGUAUGAGAGAUCAUAAAAUAUUAACAUAUUGAUCUAAGAAUAAUAUAUGUUUGAAUGGACAAUCAAAUUUGUACGAGUUCAAAAUAUAGAAAAAUUUCAAGACUAAAAUUAAAAAAGAAAGAUGAUAUCAAGUUGCCUCGAAACAAUCUCCAAAGUCAAAGAUGCUUGUCCUAUUCUAUUGUAAUCGUUAAAAAGAUAGAUAUGAUAUUAGUGUAUGCUUUUAUGAAAUAUAUAAGCAAUAGUUUGUGUUUAUAAAUUCGUUUAAUUACCAAACUAAAAACCCUAUUCACUUUCUUAACUAAAAAUAUAUCAAUUCAUCAAUUCUUUUAUUAUCAAUACGAUUAAGGAAAAAUUUUCAGAUUAUAUCAACAAUAGAUAUUGAUAGUGACUGAUAUGCUUCUAUCAGUAGAAUUGAUAGACAGUGAUAGAAUUCAAAAUUUUACUAUAACUUGUAAAUAUUUUAAUUUAUUUUACUAUUUUUAAAAACGCUCUAUUGUAUGAUAGGAUUUUAACUGUGUUUUGCAUUUUCAUAAGGAAAUAAAGAAUUAACACUUAAGCAACAUUAUUUCAAACAAAAACUCUUACUUAUAUGGUAAUUAAGUUUAUGAUUUAUUAACAAAUUUAACACGAAUAUAUGUUUUUAAACAGUAAAACGCGAAUGAGCAAAAUUGUUUUUCGUGAAAAUUUUCAUGGCUGUUGAGAUCAUAGUAAAGAACAAAAUCCUAAUGUGAAAGUCUUGAACAUCGAUAAUACAUAUGAGUUUUGGGUUGAAGUCAACGUUGAAGAUAAUGACGUUACGUUGUUGUAACUCCUAGAAUAGGUUAAUGAUUAUAUAUCACCGCUAAAUAAAGUUAUGGGUUAUUUGUAUACAUAUAUAUUUAAGCUUGAAUUUCAUUUCUCCUACCGUGAAAGUUACAAAACCGUAAACCAUACUACGUUUUUUUACAAAGGUACAUCAUAGAUUACGACAUUUAUCUUUGUGUAUCCAACAACCGUCAAAUCGACCCCAUUAUAGUUUUGUCAUGUGACAAAAUUUUCUUACAUCUCUUGUUAUAUAUAAUAUUUCACCUCUUAGGAUGUGUUAAGGACGACCCGUAAGUUUCUAGUUCAAAUCCACCUCUUCAUAUUUGUGUUCAAAAAUUAACACGUAUAUACUCUAACGAAUUUAUCAUUUAUAAUUUUCAUAAAAAGUUUUGGGAUAAUCUCGAAUAAAGAAUUGGUAACAUUAUUCUUCCAAUUCUUUCUAGAAUUUAUGCUGCCCAUAAUAAAGAAACUUUUCACUUUCAUUUUCCUUUUACAUCUUUUGAACCCUAUGUUCAUUUAAAUAUUAUUUUCUGAUAGCAAACUUUUUCGGUUGUGAUCUAAAUUAUAGAUAUGAAAUAUUAUAAUCUAAUAGUAUAGAAAUAUGCUUAAAAGAAGCAAAGACGAUAUAUGGUUGUUAUCUUAUCUUACUGCGAUGAACGUCCAUUCUUCGAAUGAAAUGGGAAAAAAAUUAUAUGUAAGACCAAAUGGGUCGGGGAACGUGCAUUAUGUGUUCUUGCCUCCACCCCGAUAGUCUUUUUUUUUUUCAUUUAUUGUAGUAAUUUAAUAUUUUAUUAUUAUCGCUCUAUAAAUUUUAAGAAAAUUUGUUAAAAUAGAAGAAUUGACAAAUUAUUUACAAUCCAUAGUAAAAUUUUAAUCUAAACCCAAAAUGGAUAACUAAAAUUUUAACUCAAAUUCAAAAUAUAUAUGUUUUUUUUCUUACACGAGGUAAAUAUUUUUCUAUAUUUUAUAUUCGAAUUAAGUUUUUUUUGUUUGGUGGUGGAGAUAAUGAAUUAAUUUAAAUUUAAGUAAUUUCUUUAUAAAUUCAAAAGCAAAUUUAACGAGAGUUAGAAGUAGAAUACGUCUUUUAUAAUACUCGAAGUCUCUCGCUUUCUUAUUCUAAUUUUACGAUUGUGGGUCAACUAAAUUUAUAAUAUUUUGUCAAAACUCAAUUAUCCAAUUUAAUUGGUUUUCUUUUAAAAAAUUUAUUAGAAACCUCUCGAAAAGUAUGAAAAUGAAUAAUGAUAUAGACAUUAAUUUAUUCUACAAUCAUGCAUAUGUCAAUUUAUAUGUAUAAUUCAUAAUUCAAUUACUUAAAAAGACAAGUUUACUUCCAUGGUAAAGUUCAAAUAAUAUUCAAAUCUUUACUAAUACACAAAUAAAUAAUUAGAUGGUAAUAAUUAUUAUUAUCAUCACUAUUAUAUUAAAAAAAAACAACAAUAAAUUUACAUAUAAUAAAAUUUCUUUCUUAAAUUAAAUGAAAAAAAAAUCCACUAUUUUAGUCCACAUUCAAAAUUAAAAAAAGAGAACUAUGAUUUAAAUUAGAUCAAUGUUAUAAUCAAUAAACUAUAAUAAACACUUCAACGCUCGAGAAGCGCCUACAACUUUUAUGAGAGAAUCUUUUACUUUUAGAUAAGCUUCAUCUAAGAGAAAACAACAAGUUGGUAAAGCAUGAUUAUCUCAAACAAUAUUGCACCUAAAGAAAGGGCUAUAAAAUGUCACGCUAUCUACCCAUCAAAACCCGAAUUAAAAAAAUGAAAUCUACGUUAAAACAAGUAGCAAUUUUCAAACAUGGGAUGGAGAUGUCACACGAAAUGCCACCCGGUAUGCUUAUCGUAUUACUUUAAUUUUUGUUUAAAAACCGUAAUUUCAUAACGAUAUCAAAUUGUGAAUAUGUGUAUAAUAACAGGAGCGAAAACAGAAUGGCCAGAGCUUGUGGGUAGAGAUGCAAACGAAGCUGAGUUUAUUAUAGUGAAGGAAAAUCCUUUUACCUUACCUUAUGUAUCUCACCCAGAUUUAGAGUUCGACAUGAUCGGCGCAAAUCCGAAAUUCUUAGUUAGUCUUCCGGUCAACAAUCUUGAAGACUAUUUGAUUGUUAAAACCCCUAGAUGUGGACACUAAGGAUAUGCAUAUAGUUGAGAGUGAUUUUUAAAAUCGUUAAUAUCACUUUUGUCAUUUUUAAAAUCAUUACAAAAAUAUGUUUUUAAUCGUGUAAAACUAGUUUUGAUAUCAUGAAAAUUGUAUUUAAAAGUAAAUUUAUUUUAAGUGAUUAAAGACGUAUUUAAGAGUAAUUUUAGAAAUGACAAAAAUGAUUUUUAACGAUUUUAAAAUCUCACUCUCAUUCACUAAAUUGUUAAAAUAACGUUAUCUGUCUUAAUCCAAAUAUGCAAACUUCAAUGAUCUUAUGAUAUGAAAUAUGAAUAAAAUAACAUAUUAUUAUUACGUUCUUCUCUUCUCAUCGUUCUUUUCGUAAUUAAGUGUAUUGUCGAUUACCUCAUGACAUCAGAUUCACUUUUUUUUUCUCUCUCGAACACUUCACUCUUCAUAACAUAGAUGUGUUGUUCCUCUUAUUGUCAAUUAGUCCAGACUAACUUUAUAUACAGUUCAAAAGAUGUUUCUAAAUGCAAAGAAAAAAAAAGUAUUUAUAAGCAUUUAGAAAAAAAAGUACAUCACUUUGUAUACGAAUUCUCAAUUAAGCCUAUAAAUAUAUAUGCUCGCUUUAACUUAUACAAAUUACUUGAAUUAAUUUGCUUUGGUAAAAAAUAAGCAAUAAAAAAGGUUAAAGGAUUGUGUAUAUUAUUCUACUCAUCAAUAAUAUUUGCCAAAUUUAGUCUACAAAAUUAAAAGAGUAGGUAAGUUAGUAUCAUCUAAGUCAAAAUGAGUUUAGCUCUAGUAAAUGAUAUCGAAUUUUUGAAAUGAAUACAACAAAAGAUGUUUGUGGAGCUUGUUAAAGUAAAGUCUAGAGGUAGAAUAGCCUAAACUACGUUAUUAUUAUAGAAAAGAACACUUAUGUGCAUAGCAGUUUAGUCUUAUUUCAUCUCAAUAAAUUGUCUAACUAUACAGUUCGUCACAUGACAAAAUAUUCUCCCAUUGUUCUAAUUUUUGUUCAUGUGAUUGAAAAUGAAAAUGAAAGGUAUAAAGAUGUGUAUAUGUUUGGAAUACAAUGAAGCAACCAAAGUCAACUCAUGAAAUCCUUUCUCAUAUAUUAAGAGAGACAUGUCCUCACGUUGUUGGAUUUGUGACAAAGCAACAACGUAAACACAGAUUCAAAAUUUGGUAAUUUGAAUACAUGUUGAGCACAUCUCCCACUUUUUCUUGCAAAUGGAAUCCAUUAAAGGGAUCAUAAGAGAUUAUGGAUACCAUAUAUUUAUAAAACUUGUGAAGAAGAAGAAGAAGAAGAAAAAGGUAAGUGAAAAUGGGGAUUACAAGGAACUGGUUUAGAAGAGCAAGAAGGAAGCUGAUCAGUAGAAAUGGCAACAGCAGAGACGUUUUUCUGCAAACAAAUGCAAGUCCAAUUCAUGAUGAAGAACAAACCAAUCUUACAUUAACCCAACAACAAGAUGGAGAAGAAGAAGAAGAUGAAGAGGAAGAUGAAGAGGAAGAAGAAGAAGAGGAAAUUGAUUAUGAAUCAAUGACACCCAGAUUUCAAAACAAAGUGUUGUCUAAAGAGGAAGAGGCAGCCAUCAAAAUCCAAGCUUGUUUCAGAGGCCAUCUUGUAAUUAUAUCUCACCAUGUUUUCUUUCUUUUCACUAUCUAAAUCUCUAUAUACAUUUUACCUUUGAAGGAUGUUUUUUUUUUAGUUUUAGAAUAGUAUUUCUUAAUCAACGAUAAUUUUGAAAAAUAUAGUUUUUAAAAUUUACUCAACGUCUUAAAUUUUAUAAAUACCUUUUAAAUUUAGUUAGAUAUUGAAAAUAUGUAAAAAAAAUAAUACAGUGAAUAAUGAAUGAAUUCAUGUCUUUUACACGAUAACUAGAAGACUCAAAAGUAUUCAUUAACAAGUAGAGGGGAAAUUUUAUUUUUUGAAUUUUUGAUUGGUACAAUUAAUCAUUUGAUAUAUCACCUAACAGUCACGCUUAUUGUUCAGGCAAGACGAGCAUUUCAAGCCCUAAGAAGUUUGGUGAAGCUACAAGCGCUGGCUCGAGGGGUGUGCGCGAGGAGGCAGGCACGAAUAGCUCUUCAAUUCAUGCAUGCAUUGGUUAGAUUGCAGGUUCGUGUUCGUGCUCGUCAGCUUUUAAACAGAUACAGUGAAGAGUCUGAUAGUUGAAGAGAAAGGUAUCAUAUAAUACUAGCAGAUGCUUCUACAAGAAAUAUAAUAAUCCUAUCAAUCUGUUUGCCAACUCUUUUGUUUUUAUUGCCCUUGAUUGUUGUCUGGUGAUAUUUGGAUUUCUCUUUCUCCUUCAUCUUCAUUUCUCAAGUGCUUUGCAGCUAGUUUUUGAAGAAUUUUUGCUAUAAUACGAUUCUCUUGAGAUGAACAAGUAGAGAAUCCACUUGCUAAAUUCUUUUUCUUUAAUGAUUGAAUAUCCAUUGUCUCCUUUUCUUGUAAAUAAUGUGGACACAACUUGAUCUACAUGUGGAACGACAUUAACUAUAAAACCUAAUUGAUUCAAGGUUUAAGUGGGUUGCUAUUACCAGUGUAAGACAAAAGAAAGAAGAUAAAAGAGAUUGAGAGAGCGAAUUGAUAAGAAUGGUAUUAGGAUGUGAUUGCAAGAAUGAUAAUAGGGUCAAACUACCUCGAAUUACUUGAUUUAACUUGUAGUUUGGUUACCAUUUGUAUCUUAAUAUAUAUUUGGUUCUAUCAAUCAAACUUGUAAUAUCGAAGAAAGAAGAUGAAUUCUACAUUCAGAUGGAUCAGUUUUAAGUAACAUAUUAUACAGCAUGCUAAGGGUUAGGCCAAGAACAUUGAAGGGUUCUUCCAAUACAGCUGUUAGGUAAAAGAAGGAAAGAUGAACACAAAAGAAGAAACAAAAAAGAAGGUCCAGACAUUUUCCUUCUUUUUGUGGGAGGGUUUUAUUGAUUACCAGCACCAUUGCAACUCUGGCUAAGCUCCUCCUGUGCAUUCAGUGGUGCCUCUUCUUGAAGGCUGAGAAUAAUGCACCGGAUAACUUAUCCUUCUUGCGUCGAUUUUCCCCGCUGUUGUCAACCUGCUUCAAUUGAAUCUCACUGAGAAAAUGUUUCAUAAUUCAGUAAGUCAGACAUUGCUAAUGAAGUCUACCUACCUGCUCAGCUAUCUGCUUGAGGAUCUCCAAAAUUUCAGAGAAGUUUGGCCGUUCGGUUGGAUCGUGCCUCCAGCAUCUUUCAAGCAGUUCAGCAAGAACAGGAUGGGCAUUCUUUGGUAUGGUAGGCCGCAGUCUCUGCCAAACCAAGAUGGAUGAUAAAUUUAAGCAUUUUAGUUGCAGUAAAGGUAGUGUCGACAAGAAAUUGAUCUCGAUACCUUCUGGACCACGCCAACUGCUGCUUGUAGUGGGGUCAUGGAUGAGUAUGGAAUCUAGUAAUACAUCAAAAUGGCGAAAGGGUUAAUAAUAUGUAGAUUAAAAUGGACAGGACAUAAAAACAUCCAUACAGUGAAUACUGAAUACUCAAAUCAAAGCAAGCUGCUUACUUCUCCAGUUAAAAGCUCCCAUAAGGCUAUUCCAAAGCUGAAAACGUCUGCCUUAUGAUCAUAUGGUUUAUGCUCAAUAACCUUCACAUCAGAAAAAUAAAUAUAUCGUAAGGAAAAAUAUGUCACAUCCUUUAGAAUCUAGAGCGACAGACAUUGGCAAACUAGUUGGUAAAAUGCUACUGACCAAACUGCGUUUAAGUAAAACUUGUGUAGUAAACAAGUAAUUAAUUGAAAAAGGUUCUGCUGUUAUGAAUUCAAGGAAGACAAAUCAGUGGUAAAAUGUUGGUGUGAGCGUCAAGAAUAAAAGAACAUUUAAUGUCAUCAAGGUUAGAUAUACCCUUUCUAACUACUCUGCUCCAUCUAAAGCCGUGCUAUCAAUUGAACUGUGCAGUCCUUCGGUGUCUUAAAUUCAUCACUGUUAUCACUCUUGAAAAUGUUGGUAAGAUCAAUAUGCAAAUUCUAGGUUAUAAUUUAAUCGAUCAAUUACCUCACAAGAAUAAUAGACAUAUCAAAGUCUUAAAGAAGAAUAAUCAGGCUUGGCUGAACCAAAUUGCAUACAGCAAUCUUACACAAGCAUAUGACAUAUAGGAUACUAAAUCUUUCUUUUUGAUACUAAAUUUUAAUCGUUAAUUUGUUAUGUGUAUCCAGUAGCGUAUAUUUUAUUUGGAAUGAUUAAGAAGGUAUUUAAGGUAUGAGAAAUUAAAGAAAAACACAUACUUCAGGAGCCAUCCACCGGUAUGUUCCAGUUUCAGCAGUCAUCACUCCAGAUUGAGUUUGAACUCUGGCAACUCCAAAAUCAGCAACCUUGACAACCUGAAUCGAAGGAUAAAUGGUUAUAGAUCGAGGAAUAUUUCUCAUUUUUGCAGUUUUAAAAACUUCUCUCACCAUGUUUUCAUCCAUCAGAAGAUUUGCAGUCUUGAGGUCUCGAUGGAUUAUAUUAUUUUGAUGCAAAUAGUUCAUCCCUCUUGAAAUAUUAAUGGCCACUUUAAGUAAAGAUGGAAGGUUAAAUACACCUCUUUGCUUAUGAAGGAAGUCAUAUACACUUCCUCUCGACAUAAACUCUGUAAAAGAUAAAGCAUGAGCAAUAAUCAAUUGGACGAGAAACAAAAUAAAUACUAUAUUAUAAAAAUCUGUGAGUGAGGAAUUUUCAGGAAAAACACACAAAAACUCAAAACUCAUUUGAAAGGAACAUAUCACAAUAUACAAUUACGAAGGUAUUGGUUUAGAUAAUGCCACAUUGCAAUUCCAUAGAGGACUUUUUAUAAAGGUAAGAAACAAAAUUUCUAGAAGUGACACGCUACCAUUUACUUAUCAAUUAUCACAGCUUACCUGUCACAAUACAGAGGUUUGGAGGUUUAGUACAAGCACCAAGAAAUUGAACAACAUUUUUGUGCCGAACUUUCCUGCAAAAAUAGGAACCAGACUUUAGUAUAGUAGUAACGAACUUCAUCCUGCAUUACUUGUCCCAAGUAGUUGUAUCUUGCGUAAAAAAGGAACACUUGGAAUCUAUUAAUAUAAAUUGUUUUUGAGUGCUUUUUGGGAUUUUUUUUUCCUGAAGCCAUUCAUCUUCAAUAUCAAUAUGGGAAUUUUUAAGCAAAAUUAUAUGGAGAGUACUGAGGAAUACCAGUUGAAAAUAAGUUAAAAAUGAGUUUCUUAAAACAUAUUUGAAGAUGCCACUCUAACUUUGAAAGACCUAAAAGUUUUAGCUUUUCAUCAGGCUUGCAUUUCAGACACUUCCCAUAAUGUUCCUUCCUUUCAACAAUCCUUUAAAACGGUAAGAGUAUGAUUAUCCUCCAUCGUACAAUCCUCUUUUGAAUUGGUAUGUUGUUUUGUCUAUUAUCAAAUAUGCAUCUGGACUCUGGGGCAUGCCAGUAUUUUACCCGACCACAAAUGAGAAAUUAGAAUUUUAAGACCAGAAGCACCUCUUCCCUGUAGAAUCAUUGUUUUGAAGACUAAAGACUAGAAAGUAACAGAUGAUCUUAAAUUCAAUCAAAAGUUGCAAGGAGUUAAAUAUCUAAGCCCAACCUUUUCUGAUUGCUACAUUUUUAGCCUAAAACCCAUUGUAUUCUACGUUGUCCUUUAAAGGCAUACCAUAUGUUCUUCUAAAGCUCAAUGGUGUUAAUAACAAUAUAAACAAACCUCAUUAUAUAAACUUCUUGAGAGAAUUCUUUGAGCAUCUCUUCAUUAAUACGCUCAGGCCUCAGUACUUUAAUAGCUACUUCCUGACUACAAUACGUGCCCCGAUACCUUGAGAGAGGGAGGGAAGAUUAGGAUGAGGAUAUGUUAACAAGUUUUUUUAUUAGUUAACAAUCAUAUGUCAUAAUUAGAUAAAACUUACAGGUCCCCAAAUGACCCAGAUCCAACUUUAUUCUCAAAUUUUAGUUGACUGAUGUCCAUUUCCCAGACAUCAGUACCAUCAGUAGGUAUUCCAACACAACUAGGAAAAGAUUCAACUCUAUUCUGGUUAUGCUUACCCAAAGCAGAACUGGGCUGCUUUUCGGACCAACACUGCUCCUGCACCCCAUUUCAGGUACGUUAAAAAAUUAAAGAAAAAAGCUCUUAAGUUUGUAUCAGUAAAAAUUUAUGAACUAAGAAGAUACCUUAAAAUUUAAAAUUUCUUUUUCUAAUACCCUUUUCAGCUCCUCAGUUUCCUAGAUUUUCCAAUAUUCAAGUAGUGAAUGAAGAAGAACAAUAUAACAUAUGAAUGAAACAAAAUAGUAAAAGAUGUUAGAAUGAAUUGCUCUUGUGAACUACCAAAUAUUGAUCAGAAAGUAAAUGGCGAAGAAAUUUUAAAAUGCCUAGAUCAGAUCUUACCUCAUAAGGCCAACCGUCGAUGACAAAAACAUCCAGAGAGAAACCAUCAACAGAGGAGAAAGCAUGAGCUUCUUGUAUGUUAAGUCCAACAUCAGCAAGUAAGGAAGUCAACUGACCAGAACCAAGACUUUCAAUCAUUCACUGAGGGGUGGAAUAAUUAAAGGGAAAAAUAACCCUAGCCAACUUAUAUAUCUUCUUCAAAUUGAGUUUUUGCAAGAGAUACUUAUAGCUUAUCGUGAAUGCAUUGGACAUAAUGAGACCAAUUUUUUUAAGGACGUGACUGAUACUUGAGGAAUGAUUAUAUAAUAUUAGAUACUAAACUGCAGAAAGUCUUAUUAAACAGCAAGUACAGGCCCAUCAAAUUACAUGGUCCGAAUUGCCCAAAUUGUUAUUGCAGAGAGUUUAUAUUCUAACUCGAUUUUUUCACAUUCUCAUGCAAUAGUAAAUUCGUUGAUGGGUAGAAAAUCUUGGUCAUGUUCUAAAAAACUGGUAGCAGCAUAGAGCAAAUGUGAUCGUUUUCAUGUAGGUGAAUGGAUUUCAAUUCUAUUUAACAAACAUCAGACACUACGGCUCUGAGUUAUUAAAUAGGUAAAAUACCUGACUAAGGAGUUUAGGCUUGUCACUUGUUGCAAAUGUGAUCUCAUGCAUUGGCCUGUAGAUUGUCAAUGGCAGAAUGAAACAGUAACAAAAACAUCAAUGUGUCAAAAGUAGAUAAACAUUAUACACAAUAAAAAAUUGCUUUUGUAGUGCAUGGCAUUUGCUUUAUACUCAGUUAUAAAUCCCAUUGUCACUUGAAGAAUAUAUCGACUCAGAUACAUAAUAAAUUGAAAAUAGUAACAAAUGGAGCAGCAAAAUGUUCAAUCAGAGCAUGAAGAAACUGGCCAAGAAAAAGGGUCUUGCAUUAGAGAAUGUAUUGGUUUGUUUGAAACGUGAAAAUGUCUCUCCUCUCUUGAAUGUUCUAGAGAGACAUGGGGUCGAAAAUGAAUAACUAGAUUGCAGCUCAUACUUUUUUACUAUUUUAAUGACCUGCUCUGAUGUAUAGUAAAAUAAUCUUUUCCUCACCGAGAAAAGCUGGAUGUAACAUUUGGCGCACUGUCCCUAUCUUCAACACCGUACUUGCUGCCCUGAAAUGUAGGGGCUUCAAGAUUAGGUGAAGAGCCAAAGGUUGGAGGUGGAUGGUUCCUAAAAAGAGAGAAAGGGAAUCAGUAGGCACAAAAACAAAAAAUAAAAUCAGAACAGGCACACGCGUGCACACACACAUAUUUUAUCACCAGGAUCAAAGCGCUCUUGUAUUAAGCUCCCCAAAGGUUCGAACUUGGGACCUCUAACCCAGUAUGAUCUAGAGACCCCAAGCCCUUGCCAACGGGGUCAUCCCUUAGGAGCCUAGAAUCAGAACAUAAUUGUAAAAGCACUCCUACAGAAGAACAUUAUUGAGCCUCACCCCUGUCUGUUAGAAUAGUUCAAAGAACUCUGAGCAUCUUCCAUCAUAGAAGCAUCCAAACAAGAAGAAUCGAUAAAAUUUUCAUUAGCAGAAGGAUAAACCUGCAUGACAAAAUUUAAAUUAAUUAAUCAGAAAAAUAUUUAAUCUAGACAAAUAUCUAUGCUAUGUAAAAUUUAACAUCAAGAUCCUCUAAAAUCAAUUCUCAAAUAUACUAUGUUAAGAAGUUUAAGCUAAUUUCAUUAAGUAACCAUGAGCCUACAAAACUAGAACAAUUAGAGAAUAAAUUCUUCUAAAAACGGGUAGAUUCUAGUGAUACAUAGUCAUGACUGUCUACUCUCUCAAUAUCUCUCUCGAUAAUAAUAAUAAUAACAAUAAGAGGAACUGGCAGUUGAAUUGAUACAAUUAGCGUAAUGAUUCAAGCAGUUGAUUGAACUUGUAAGUUUUACCUGCACAGAACGAAUUUCAAAUACAGGUCGGUUAGACGGAUCCACAGCCAAUUGAAGUAAUCUCUUAUGGGUAAGGACAUCUUCUGCCCUGUCGACAUUCACAUCCAAUGCGUAUCUAUACAGCAAUAAUCAGGAACUUAACAAAAACGGAAGGAGUGCUCUGGAAAUCCAAUAAAAACGUGAUUAUAAAUACUGAAAAACAAACAAAAAUAACAUUUCAUUUGUAAUCCAAACUAUACACAGAAGAAUUGAUACGUUCAACAACCUGCAACCACACAAAUCCUCAUUGUACAAUACAUCCUACUCUCACACUUGAUAAACCAUAGAAAAAUAACAUAACUCAACAAAAGGCUAAAUAUACCAAAAUAAUGAUCUCUAAUCUCCCAAAUAAUUCGGAAUUCGUCCAUUGCCGUUUAAAAUAUUUAAUUUACUCCUAAUGUACUAAAAUUUCCCAACUAGGUUCUUCAAUGUACAUAUUGUUAAAAAAAAUAUUCAAAAAAAGUUCUAAAAUGUCAUUAAAUUAUGGUACACUAGUCAUUGGAAUACUCAAAACAACGAAACUCAACCUACUUAUUAAGACAGUCCUUCCAAAUGGCAUAUGCCCCACAUCUCUGAAAACGAUAAUAAGACAAUAACACAAUGAAAUUGUUAAAAGAACUUACUUUUGCCAUGUUUCCAAAACAAGCCUUUAAUCCCUAAGAAUUAAUAUAAUAUUUAAUUUUAUAGUUUAAAAUGUCAUUUUCAUAUCAUAAAAAUUGAUUUUGAUUUUGAAAACGACCAAAGUGAUUAUGAAAUCACUCCAAACAUGCCCUUAAGCCAUACAAGUUAAAAAAAAAAUAAAAAAUAAAAAAUUAAUAGUUCUUCCAAGGAGGAGACAGAUAAUUAGUGAACAUAUUAGAGAUCAUUAACCAUACAGCACAAUGAGGUAGAAGGGAAAUUAGCAUAGAAUCGACAAGAGAAGAACUAGGGCAAGGAAGAUACCGAGCAGGGAGGCGAUUGAAAUGAAGCCAAAGCUGAUCAUCAAACCCAGGUAGAUUAGCUUCAUGGAAAUUGGAUUGCUGGAUUCGUCGAAGAACUUCGUUGUAAACUUCAAGCUUCUGACGAUGAUGCCUCGGGUUGACAUGGGAAGAGGAGAAGUCGGUGGCUCUGCUACCGCAGCUCUCAACAUCAUCUUCAAUCGGCAUUGAUAAGAAUAGUUAAGAAGAAGAAGAAGAAGAAGAGAAAAAAAAAAAAAAAAAAAAAAGCGAUGAAUGGAAUCAGAUAAAAAGCUUAGGUGUGGAAAAUCAAAAGGGGCAAAAGAGAAGGUAACGAGGAAUGAUUGAAGAAUCCCACAUGGGAAUUGGAAAUUAGGAAUUGCGAUCAACUAAAGAGAGAAGAAAACAACAACAACAACAACAAGAUGAAGUAGAAGAAGAAGAAGAAGAAGAAGAAGAAGAAGGUUGGUGUGAAGUGGAAAUGGGUGAGAGAGUGGAAGGAGAGAGAAAGUAAAAGGAGAAAUUUUCAGGCACUUUUUGGAGUCUUUGGGUUUCAGUGAACGAAGAAGUGGAGAAAUGGGAAUUGUCGCGGAGAGCACACAAAUAAAAAAUAAUAACUUUAUUAUUAUUUGUGUAUUUUUAAAAUAAAAAUUUGGUAUAUAAAAUGUAAGUAUUAUUUUCUUAUUUAAAAAAACAUUAAAAAUUAUCCUUUUAAAAAAAAAAGAGAAAAUUAUUAAAGAAGAUUACAAAUGAAAAAAAUACUAAACAUAAAAAUGGGCAUAGGAUGAUUUUUGUUUGGUGAGGUUGGGGAUAUUCAAUCAAUCACUAUGCUAUAAUUAUUGUAAAUAAACAAAUAUUUGAAUAUUUGAAUAUUUGAAUAUUUAAAAGAGAGAAAAAAAAAGAUUAUAUUAAUGAUGGCAUCAUCAUGUACAGUCGGCAUCGAGUCAUAUGGGCCCCGCAGAAACUAUAUAAAAAUAGCCUUAUUGGAUAUUACCUUUUUUUUUCUUUUUCUUUUUCUUUUUUAAUUUUAAAAAGAAAAAAAGAAAACUAAUUAAUUAAUUAUGAAUGUGUUUUUAAUCAUUUUUAAUGCUUUCUUCAAAUAUCUUCCCCCCCCCCCCCCCCCCCCCCCCCCCCACUUUCUCUUUAUUUAUUAAAAAACCCUAAGUUUUAUAACUUGGAAUCAAUUAAUACUCUCAAUUUCAUUUCAUUUAACCUUACAAUUCGAAUCUUAAUCUUCUUAAUUUUCUUUCCACUACUUUAAUAAGUCUAAAUUGGAUUAUUCCAUAAUGGAGAAGAACCAAACAUACCCCAAUUGCUUGCCUUUUAUACUUAUGUGAUAUAUAUAUAUAUAUAUGACUUUGUUUUAGUGGAACUAUAAGCCACUCUUCCUAUACUUACCUAAAUAAACAUCUAUUUUAUGUCGUAAUAAUUAUAAUAUCUUUUUUAGGCAACAUGUACUGUAAAUUAAAACAUCUAAUUAUGCAAGUAGUUUUUAAAUUAAUUCAUCCAGAAAUCAACGUUAUCAUUAAAAUAUAAGAUUGUUAAUUAAAAGGACAAGAGGAACAAGAGAAUGUGUAACGCCCAAGUCCAGGAUUUGGAAUUCGGAUCUCCGACAUUUCUGAGUCCUUCAACAUGCUUUGUCCUCACUCACAUGCAUUCUAGAAAGAUUCUCAAGAGAUCACCCAACAUAGAAUUACUCCAAGUUAAGCACACUUAACUUUGAAAUUCCUAUGAUUGAGCCAUUGAAAAGAAAUGUGCACGUUGUUGGUAUAUGUAUUGACUUUUUAAGCUUUUUUUUAACAUUACUUUCAUGUCCUUAGGAUCCCUCUCAUUUAGAUGUGAUAUCAGUUCGUUCAUGUCUUCUUCCUAAUUUCGAACGUUAUAGAAUGACUAUCUGUAUAUAUGUGUGUAUAUAUAUGAAAAUGUGACUAAUACAAGCGGGCCUAAGAUUACUAGAUCAUGCGUUUCUUGGAUCAUAUUUUUAGUGCAUGAACUUAAUUGGUUUAUAUUGAUAUAUAUCCUCAACAUAAAAGGCUAAAGAUUUGAAUCAUUUGACAAUUGAACCUCACACAUUUGCUCAACUAAAACAAAUGAAUGUGUUGGUGACAAUGUCCAUCAUGCUCAAUCAAUAUCAACUCUUUAAAAAAGAAAAAGAGCUUUUUGACCAAAGGACAAGUGAUAAAAUAAGUCAUAUCUAAUCAACUAAAAUUAUUGCAAGAAUAAUCAAUUUGUUUGCAAAUGGGUCAACUACUUAUUCCUAUAGAAGCCAAGAUAUUUUGACAAUAUGAUUUUUACAUUUUGAAAACACUAAUCAAAGUGGCUAUAUCAUUUUUGCAUUUUGCGCAUACUUAAAAAGAUAUUGUAUUUUAUAAGAUACGGAAACAAAACAAAUUCACAUGUGAUGUGAUUCAUUCUAAUAUUUGAACUUCCAAAAAAUCUUAUGAUGAUUGGAAGUUUAGAAGCACGAAAGGGUACAAAAUAAUUUAAUCUCAUAAGCUUAUGAAAGCUAGUUUGAGAAGCACCAAAGGUUACAAAAUAAUUUGAUUUCAUAAGCUUCUGAAAGGUAGUUUGUAAAUAUGUAUAUAUAAUUGGAUACGUAGUACAUGGAAAUACUAUCAAUCUCAAUCAUCAAAGGGAUAGAGAGAUAAUACAUAACUCAAAAACUUGUUUGAGUUAUAUUCUAUAGGAAGCAAUAUAAUAUGAAAUGAGUUGUCAAACAAGUAGUUGGAAAUCUUUCAAGAAUUGCUUUUGGUAACCAAUCAUUUGACUUUUUUUUCUUUUAAAAAUUAAGCCAAUAAUUACUAGAUUCAUCUAUUAAUCUAUACAUUGCGUCAUCUAUAUGUUUUUUUAAGAGAUUUUCAAAAUCAAAGCCAAAAUUUGAAAACCGUGGAAAAAGUAGUUUUCAAAAAUACGUUUUUGUUGUUAUUGAAAAUUGACUAAGAAUUCAAGGAAUUACGAAAACAAAAUUGUUACAAAUUAAAAUCUUAAAAUUCAAAGACUUAGAAAACAUAAAACUAAAAGAGUUCAAUAUUUUUUAAAGUUUGGGAUUCUAAUAAACACCUAAAACAUCCAUAGCUAAUACUCUUGCCAAAUCUCACAUUUUGUAGUUUGAUUAGUCCAUUUUAGUGAUAGAAGGUUAAUUUGAACAAAUCAAAUAUCAAAACUUGAUUGUCAUAUUCAGACAAAAUUAAAAAAUUUCUCACACAUAAGUUGGUCGAAAAUUUUCACUGUUAAAGAGGAAUAUGAUAUUAAAUUUUCAUCAACAAAGUAAUUUUGAUAGAUAUUUUUUUAAACAAAUAUACUCGUAAUUACUACGAAUACUCUUCGAACUAUGCAAAGACUAAGAAAAUGAAGAGAAAAAUGAUGAAAGAGUUGAGGGAAAGUGAUGAUAUAAUCUUUGGAGUGUGAUUUUGAAAUUUGAUUAAGAUAAAAUUGGUAUCUUUGCUUGUCGGAAACAAGUUUAGCAAUUUUUUUAUAAUGAAUGCAAUAAUUAAAACUAAUCAAAUCACUUCUUGAAUAUUCUUUUCUGCUAAGUUAAUUAGUCUCAGAGUCUUAACUUCUACUUUCUUUCUUUCUUGUUUUAAUUAAACUAAAAUAAGAUUAAGUUGGAAAAACCAAUCUGUGGUUGCCAACGCAUAAUUAUAUGAGUAAUGAUUAGGAAAUCCAGCUAAAAUCCAAAGGUUUUUGGUAAAGAUUAUGUUAACAUGCAGAAGAUGAAGAACAACUUAAUUCGAGAUGAGAUCAUGUUAUGGCUUAAACAGAUUUGCUAAGUGGCAACGUGUGGAUGGUUGAAGGGUUGUGAUUUCUCAGUGAUGGAGGCCCACAAAUGAUGAUGAUGGACUAAUCAUGAUCACCAAAAGCCAAUCAAGCCAAAUGGGAACAAUUAUCAGUUGCUUCAAUAAAACAGACUCUCCAUCUCUUUCUUUCUAGUUUCAUGAACAUUCAACAUCUCCUAGGAAGAAGAAGAAGAAGGAUUGAAAAAUUAAUACUUGGACAAAAAGAGAGAGCAAUACUAGGAGGAGGGGAAGACGAAUAAGCCACCUAGUCUUAAUUGGUUAAGGUAUAUAUGUUUGAUGUCACAGGUUUGAUUCCCACUCCAAUGCAGCUCCUUGUGUUGUUGAUCUAAAAGAAGAAGAAUAAGCUACAUGAAUAUAGUUCUACUGGCCGUUAAGGAAUAUAUUUUCGACAAAGAAAUCAAGGUUUGAUCCAGCUCAUCUCCACCCUGCAUGCUUUUGAUGAUCUAAAAGAAGAAGAAACGAUAUCGUAGGAAGAAAACGAGCGUGAAGAAGAAAGAUCAGGAAGUGACAGGUAGAAGAAGAAUUGAUAUCAUAAGAGGAAGAAGAGCUUGAAGAAGAAACACUGCAAAAAGUGCAAAGAAGGCGAGCACGGGUUCGGGUAUCUGGAUGGUGGUGAAAGUGUGAAUGGGGCAGUGUAAAUCCAAGAAAGAAAAUGGCAGAGAAGAGAUGAAAAGUUCAGAAGCACACAAGUUUGGAUGUAUGGAGAUGAUCAAAGAGAGAAAAACCAGAUUCUAUAUUGCAAGGAGAUGUCUCAUCAUGCUUAUUUGCUGGGAUAAAUAUGGUAACCACCACAUACACACCAAACUACAAAAGCAUUUCUAACUUUUGCCCCAACUUUUCCUGUUUGUUUCAAAACUAACUCAUGGGAGAAAUUUCUGACCCAACAUGUAAUUUAAGACUCAAAUACCGUCUCAUUAUUAAAAUUUACUGUCAUGCUCGUUAAGUUGUACUAAUUUGCAUAAAAAAAAACUCUUAACGAAUUUCUAACUCAAUGCUAUUUUUGAAACAACUAACAACUACAAGUUUGUAUUCUUUCCCUUGUUCUUCUUACUUUUAAGUUUUGACGUUUGGAUUUGGCCUUAUAGAUGGAAGCUGGUAAAGUUGGAGAAUGGCAUGCACCUUCCUUGAAGGCAUUGGUAAUGACAGUUACUAUAUUUUCUUAUGUUUGUCUUUGCUUUGUAAAUUUCCUUUUGGAUUAUCUAUCUAUUUUCCAUGAUAAUCCGAUUGUAUAAUCUCUUCGAAUCUUCAAUUGCAAAUGAAAUUCCUCUACUCCAUUUUAUUGUGCAAAUCUUCAAUUAUAUAAAACAACUCUCUCCACUAAUCUUUGAUCAUCCUUUCUAUCAUUACCUUCUAAUUUCGAAACUCAAUUUCAAUAUCGGAACGAAUGAACUAUCAUUUGCUUUCUCACUUCGUUUGUAAUGAAAAAUGGAUCAAAGUAGAGUGUAUGUGAGAGAAAUGAGAGUUUGUUGGAAUAUACAAAAGCUUCCAUUUUUUAUGUUAUCAUUCUCUGCGAACUUACAGCUGAAAAAGAAUAUCAGCCAUCUCAUUCAUAUCUUAGAGAUACAACACAUUGACUACCCAAAUGUAAUAUUUACAUACUCUCUUAACUGUAACUGUACAGACCGACCAUCACUAUGGAUAAUUUUUUGCAAUAUUGUGUAACAACCCAUCAGCGUUAAUCCAUUCAAUCCUGAAUUGAAUGUUCUAAGAGAUGCCUGCGAGCGAACAAUUCCUACCCAACAGAAGAGUCGCCCUGUUAGGGUGCAGUAUCAGAAAAGUUCAUACAUGUUUCACCGUAUGGUACCUCUCUCCGUACGGCAGUGGAUUACAGAGAGUUACAUACAUGAAGAACAAGUCCAAGGGCAGAUAAAGGAAGUUUGAAUAUCGAAGUUACGCCUCAUGGACCGACUUGCGAAGCUUUGUUAAUUUAUCCCUCCACAUGGCUGAAGGGAACAAAUAGCAAUCAUAAAUACCCUCAUUUGCAUGAAACAAAACGUUCUUCAUAAAUAGCCAUUCCUGCAAUUGCAAUAAAUUGGUUAGCCCUCUCUAACUUAUACCUGCAUCUUUGUACCGUUCUUCAUAAAUGGCAAUUUUCAUAUUCUUCAGCAUAUCGAGUUCCUCAGACAAGAAAUCUGGGCCAUCUGCAGCGCUGGACAAGAAAUCAUCAUUUUUAGAUAACAAGAAAAGAUAUCUAUCAAACAAGCCAACAAUGCUCGCACUUAUACCAGUCAAGUAAAACAUCAAAACAUGACUUCCUCUCGUGCACUCUUCCAAACCCGUAACUAACUCUUAUCGCAUCCUCAAAGACAAUCUGCUUACUAACAAGUACCGGUAUCUGCAAAUUCGUUAAACAAAAAAAAAAAAGGCAUGGCAGCAAAGUUUCAAUGAAGUGAGAAAUUAUUAUUUCUGUCAUGAAAAGGGGGUGAAAGGAUCCAAAGUAAAGCAUAUAUACUGCUGUACUUCGUUCUAAAGGAAACUAAGUCAUUCCAGCAACUAUAAGCUCUUCAAAAACCAUAGCAGUUAAUGGUAGAAUAUCUACCUUACACCGAUAAGCAAUAUUGAGGGCGUCUGAGGGGCGUGCAUCCACACUUAACAUCUCACUUUCCCCUUCCUGCAGAUGAUAAUAGUAUUGAAAACUUCUAAACAUGUAUUCUAAUUGCGAAUGAAUGUAUAAGAGCUAACCUUUCUCAAGAAGAGCCGGGCAAAGUAAGUAUUCACCACUCUUUCAGUAAUUCUCGCUGUGAUGGCCUAAAGUCAUAACAACAAGAAGUGGCAUUAGAUUAUGGCUCUAACCCCUAUUUCAUGGUUAGCAGAAAAAUAGAAAUGUACAUGACAAGUACAAACGAUUUAUCCAGAAGCCAUGGCGUGCAUUCUCAUUAGUCAGAAGUAAUACUCAAUUAUAUUGAAGAAACAAAACUAGCAGAUUUUUUUCAGCCUAUUGGUUCUUGUGUAGAAAAAAAUGCAAAUAGUUCGUGCACAUAUUUCUUGAUUCUUCCAUGUACAAUAUCAGGAAGUAACAAUUUACAUCUCAAGCUAGUGCAUGAACAAAAGCUGAAAAUUCCAUCCUAUUGUCCUUCACAUUCAUGUUUCAAACUCUCCCCAAGAGAGAACACAGAGCCAAAUAUAAAAUCUACGGCCAAUUUGAGGGUAGCUCAGUAGAUAAAGCAUCAAUUAUCAUUCCAAAGUUCAAUGGUUUAAUCACGCACAUGAACCUAAAAAUAAUAAUAAAGGUUGAGCAUGCAUUCAUUUGGUAAGUUAGAAGGUAGUUCCAUACCUCAUAGCCAACCUUCACAAUGAGGUCUUGUAUAAACUGAAAAAUAUCCGGGGCCUCCUGUAACAUGAUCAUUUGGCAAUUAAUGCCAACAACAAAGUAUGCAAAACCAAAAAAAAUGGAUAACAAAACCAAAGAAAACCAACCCCAUUUUCAAUCCCAAGCUGACAAUCAAUAAGUUUCUCAAUAGCAUAUUCCCCUGCGAAAAAAGUCCAAAAUUUACAACUUCUUAUCAACAAAUUCAUAAGAAAACACAACCCCAAUCACAACAGAGUUAUCAUCAUCCAAUAUACCAACGACAAUUGGCAGUAGAAAGUCUCCAUUGCAGGAAAUUUUGAGAAAUACAGUGGGGCUUCGAAAACGUCUAAAAAACCCCAGUCCAAGUGAAUUAGAAUUGGCACGAGAUUCUCUCUGGUUGAAAUUCGCAUCCUCUUGAAACCUCUUCUUCCACAUUCGAUAGUGAUAGAUAGUCUCUAAUAGUAGAAAAAGAAAGAAACAAAAAAAAAAAAAAAAAAAAAAAUCAGGAAUCAGAAACACCAACAACCCCAAAUCGAUUUAAUUAACAAUUAUAAGCUCUAAAAAAGGAAACCCAAACAAUAAAACCGAAAACCUGAAACAAGAAACGAAGCUUCGAAAUAAUCCUGAUGGGAAUUAUCAUCAUCAUCACUGUGGGUGGAUCUAUCACGAGAAGAGUGACAAGAAAUGAGGAUCGACUUGGGACGGCGAGAACGAACCGCAUUGGGACGCGAUCGGUGAAGAGAGAAGUGAAGGGAACAGGAAGGGCGAGAAGCAGAGGGGUGAUCCAUGGCUAUGGCGGAUCCAAAGAAAAUGGUAGGAAGACAGAAGUGAGGGGCUAAACCCAGCAUUGUAAUGAGGGAAUUAGAAGGAAAAAAUAGAGAAGGAAGAAGAAAAUGGAGAUUGAAGAAGAACAAAAGGGAAAGUUGGGGAAGUUGGGUGAAGUGGGGUUGGCCUGAAAAGCGCUUAUUUUUCGCUGUUACAGAGAGAGUUUGUUUUCAAUCCGCUGAAUUGAUUUGAAAGAGAAGAGAUUUUGAGGAAAUGGACAAAGACGAUGAAAGGAAGAUGAGGCACAAUACAAACCUCCACAUCCAUUCCAACUUUUCUUUCUCUCCAAAGAUAAUUUUUUCUCCAAACUUUUGAGAUUAAAGUUUCCAUAUUCGACUCUAUAUAGUUAAACUAAAUUAGAGUCUAACACAUCUAUCUUAUAAGAUUUCAAUGCAUAUGAUAGUUAAAUUUUUUCUCAUUUCCACUAAUUUAUCACUCUAGUUUUAAUUAUGUUAUCAUCUAUAAUGAAUGCUAAUAAUGAUCUUAUAGUUUAAUAUCUCAAACUUAAAUUAUUCUUAAAACUUUGAAUAAUUCCAUUCUAACAAAUAAAGUUUUUUAAAAAAUAUCUGAAUUGGUCCCACAAAUUAUUAAUUAUUUAUCUUCUUUUGUGAAAAAAAAUAAUAAAUGCGAAUAAUGAUAAACUUUUAUUGAAUAAAAAAAUAUGUAUUUGGAUGGUAUAUGUCAACAUCCAUACAUCAUCAUCAUCAUCACCACCAUCAUCAUCAAUCAUCACGUAUUAUAUCCACAACGGAGACUACAUUCGGUACCGGGAAACUGAUCGGCGUAUUUUCCACUGCCGUGAGAGAACAGUAAUAAAUGAAUGGGCUUUGCCGGCGAACUUGGCAAGCUCUGACGUUCAGAAAUCAACCCUUCUUCAGCGAAUGGAGUUUUGGGAAGUAUCAUCGCGAUUCGUACGGUUUUAUCAAGUUAUUGGGGCAUUGCAGAAGCAUUAGAAGCGUUCAGGAACUACAUGCCCAGAUCCUCGUUGAGGGUCUUGAUCAAAAUGGAUUUGUUGCCGCGAAACUGAUCGGGAAAUACGUGGAGCAUGAUGAGGGUGAAGUGAAAAUGGGAACUGCACGGAAGGUGUUUGAUACAUUGGUUCGAAGAGAUGUGUUUGUGUGGAAUGUGGUUAUACAAGGGUAUGCGAGUUUGGGUCCGUUUGUUGAAGCUCUUAAUCUGUUUGAUGAAAUGCGAGUCAGUGGGGAACCCACAAAUCGCUAUACGUUUCCUUUUGUGUUGAAGGCAUGUGGCGCAAUGAAGAAUAGUGAUAAGGGUGAGAUUGUUCAUGGACAUGUUGUGAAAUGUGGGUUGGACUUGGAUUUGUUUGUGGGUAAUGCUCUGAUCGCGUUUUAUUCCAAAUGUCAGGACGUUGAAACUGCUCGUAAAGUGUUUGAUGAUAUGUCUCUGAGAGACAUUGUGAGUUGGAACUCCAUGAUUGUUGGUUAUACUUUGAAUGGGAAAGAGGACGAGGCUAUAAUGUUUUUUCAUGCCAUGCUGCAUAACCAAGCUGAUUGCACACCUGAUUCUGCAACUCUUGUUGCGAUUCUACCUGCUUGUGCUACAAAAUCUGCUUCCCAAGUUGGCUUUUGGGUUCAUUCCUAUGUUAUAAAGACAGGAAUAGAAGUUGGGGCUCCCCUGGGCAGUUGCCUUAUUUGUAUGUAUGGUAACUGUGGUCAUGUGAACAUUGCAAGAGAUGUUUUCGACCGAAUCGACGACAAAAAUGUUAUCGUAUGGAGUGCAAUCAUAAGGUGUUAUGGAAUGCAUGGUUUUGCAGAUGAAGCAUUUAACAUGUUCAGAAGAUUGGAAGAAGCUGGUGUUAAACCAGAUGGUCUGAUCUUCCUGAACUUGUUGUCGGCUUGUAGUCACGCAGGGCUCGUUGCUAAAGGUCACGAGAUAUACGAAAAAAUGGAGGCUUACGGUUUGGAGAGGAAAGAUAACCACUACGCGUGCAUGGUGGAUCUCUUAGGGAGGGCUGGUUUCUUAGAACAAGCGGUAGAAUUCAUCGAAGGGAUGCCCGUGCAGGCAGGAAAAGAUGUAUAUGGUGCAUUGUUGGGUGCUUGUAGGAUACAUAACAACCUAGAGCUAGCUAAAGAAGUGGGGGAGAAGUUGUUUAUCUUAGAUCCCGAAAAAGCCAGUCGGUAUGUGACCUUAGCAACUAUGUAUGAAGAUGCAGGGCAGUGGGAAGAUGCUGCUAAACUAAGGAAGUUGCUGAGGGAUAGGAAUAUUAGGAAGCCAGCUGGUUGCAGUUCGAUAGAGGUAGAUAGGAUCCAUCAUGUGUUUGGGAAGAAGGAUGAAACUCAUCCCCUCACGGAAGAGAUUUUUGACACAUUAGAGAAGCUAGAAAGAAUAAUGGAGGAAGAUUUUGAACCUAUUUAAUGGAUUUUUUGUUCACACACGUUUCAAUAUACGUAGUUUAAGGACAAUUUAUCCUUGACUAUGCUUUUAUUUUUCUCCUCUUUCUAGGAAGUUUCAAUCCAAAUUCAAAUGGAUCAAACAUAAAUUGAAGACAAGCAUACUUUAACCAUCAUUUUGUUUUCCUCUCCUCGUGUUAAUGACUUCAAUUCGAACAUUAGUGAUAGCAAACGGUUUGUUGGAUGCUGGUGAAAUUUACAAAGGCAGUUUUAGUUUACAUUUAGUUUAAUUUCAUCUUUUUUUAGUUAUGUUAUUCUAAGGGAGGGAAAGGCGGAGUUAAAGUAGUUUUGAAUGUUAGAAUCACUUCUAAUUUCCAAAAAAAACUUUAAGCAAGACUUUAAAAGAAUGUCACAUGACAAUAUUAGACGAUUGUCUAGAAUACACAAAGAUAGAUGCAAUUCAGAGUGUUGAAUUUUUCUCGUAAUAUUAUUUGAUUUUGUACCUUACAUUUAAAAAUUUGAAUGAAAAAUGUCUCUUAGGCCAUGAACAUGUAACUAUUAAAUGCUGGAAUUUAUUUUUUUAUUUUUUAUAUUUUUUAUUCAUUUUUUGUACGUAUUUUACUCCCUUCAUAUCUAUCUCAAUCUCAAUUCAACAAAUAUUUGUAAAUAUUAGACAUUAACCUCAAAUCCGAGAAUACUCACUUUAGUUAAAUUUACAUUUAUCAUUUUAUAAACAAUAACAAAAAAGAUGAUCAUUUUAAAAGGUACAUGACCUAAAAAUAAAUGAGCAUUCUUCAAGAAUAAGGAUCAAAACGUUCUAAUAAGACUACAAUAGUAUAUAACUUUAUGGUUAAUGGUUGAGAGACAUUAUCAUUUAGUCUGAGAAGGUAACAACAUUUUAGAAGAGUUCCAACAUGAACACACAAAAUACAGGAUAAUUCAAAUAAUGAUCAACUAUUUGGCAAGAGUACAAAAUUACAUGGAAAGUAUGGUUGUAAUGUAAGGGAAUGAGUUUUUGCUUGUAAUAUGUUUGACAAAUUCUUCAAAGCAGAAAUUAACAAGCUUGCGAAAGCCCAAGUGGUGUAAUAAUGUGUCCAUUCCGAGCAACUUGCUGCCUUGCUGUAUUUGGGUGUUUAUUAGCCUCUUCUCGUUUGAAAUUCAAGGGCCUGACAUUUACAAAUUACCUGCACAAUCAGUUCACUUUUACAAUGAAGCAAGUGCAAAAUCAUUGGAAACUCGAGAUAAGAAACCACACUUCAAUUAAGACAAAUGAAAGAAUAUACAAAAACACUAACACCAACCCAAACAAAAGGGUAGCUACUUCACUCGAAUCCUAUUUAGUUCCUGCGCUUAUUUCCAUGUCAAAUAUUACACACAAAAAAAACUCUAUGUAAUUACCUUAUAAAUGUUGGAUAUGCUUUGAAACUUCUUUUUUCCCCUUUGGGGAUGGGGUGGGGAGACAAGAAUUACAAUAUCCAUAUAAAACGUCAGCUACUCGUAUGAUAACCAAAAUCUCUGAUUUUGUCGACUUUAGUAUUCUUCCUUAUAUUUCUUUCUGACUAUAUAAAGAUACUUCAUGUGUACACUCGUCCUCAAAAAAGUGUCUUCCUAGAGGAUAAUUCAACCUUACUAAAUAAUAUGUACCCCAGCCAAUUUUUUUGACAAAAUAGCUACCAAGAAACAACCGCCCUUUUCAAGCCCAUAUCCAAAAAUGAUGGCAGGCAUCAGAUGAGAAACCCACAUAAACAUCCUGAAGAUCAAUUAUUCAGGAAAACUAAACGAACCAGUUAGCCUCCUUUUUUUUCAUCAUCAGUGAUAUCAGGGCUUCAAGAACUUUACCCUCUUCCUUCAAGGAUGUUUGCUUUGGAACCCUCAUCAUCAAUUGUUCCUAUCAUCCUUUCUACUCCUAUCAUCCUUGUCACUUGUUUGUGGAGUGUACUGACUAGUAGAUGAUGGAGAAUACCCAGGAGCAGUAGGUGAGUACCCUGCACUUGGACUGGAAGGAGGACAAACAAUCAGAUUCUCACUAGGAAAGAACAUGUAAAUGGUUUGACCAAUAAGUUAAUAUCAGCUAACCUGUACUGUGGAGAACUAGGGCUGUAGUCUGGGCUGGGUCCUGUAUUAUAUGGACUGAAGAAAGAAAAGGCAAAAUAGUGGGUUAAGGAAAUGCAAGGACUAAAACGUGAUCAUAAUUCAUAGCUUUAAUUCGAAAGUGUAGAUGUUAGUUACGAAGUGAUCUACGGAAAAGGGAAGUAGAAUUUUACCUGCUAGGACUGUAGGUUGGGCUGGAUGGAGAAUAUGCUGGAGAAGUAGGUGAAUAUGAUGGUGAUGUUGGGCUGCAAGGUAAGACAAGGUGUUCAAGUUUGUUAGAUUCAAGGCAAUCAGAACAAACCAGAAAAACAAGCAUGAAUGCAAGGGAGUUUCCCAUUCAAACUCUUGCACGGUGCCCAAAAUAUUCUAUCCAAAAAAUACUUCACACUACCUGUAAUUGGGCGAGGUUGGGCUAUAUGGACUUGAAGGAGACAACCGUGGACUACUGGGUAAGUACGCCUGUGAUGGGCUGUAUUUAGCUGAUUGAGGAUUAUAACUAGGUGAGGUUGGACUAUAGCUAGGAGAAGUGGGGCUAUAGCUCGGUGACGUGGGACUAUAGCCAGGGGAGGUGGGGCUAUAUGCUGGAGAGGUGGGGCUGUACGAAGGUGAUGUGGGACUGUAAGACGGUGAUGUUGGGCUGUAGGAGGGUGAUGUUGGGCUGUAGGAGGGUGAAGUUGGGCUGUAGGAGGGCGAAGUUGGGCUGUAGGAGGGUGAAGUUGGGCUGUAUGCAGGUGAAGUGGGACUGUAAGCAGGUGAAGUGGGGCUGUAAGCAGGCGAAGUGGGGCUGUAACUUGGGGAAGUGGGGCUGUAACUUGGUGAUGUGGGGCUGUAACUAGGAGAGGUGGGGCUGUAACUUGGAGAGGUUGGGCUGUAACUGGGAGAGGUGGGUGAAUAAGAUGGACUUGUAGGAGAAUAUGCAGGACUAGUUGGGCUAUAGCCCGGCGAACUAGGACUGUAAGUUGGAGAUGUAGGACUGUAGCCUGGAGAGGUAGGGCUGUACCCUGGAGAAGUAGGACUAUAACCAGGAGAUGUGGGACUAUAGCCAGGGGAUGAUGGACUGUAGCCCGGAGAUGAUGGGCUAUAGCCUGGAGAUGACGUAGGAGAGAAUGCCAUGCCUCCUACAUAGGGUGAAAAUUGAGCGUCGCUGAUAGGUG
rnacentral:lncRNA from 1 species